AUACGGAGGGUGCAAGCGUUAUCCGGAAUCAUUGGGUUUAAAGGGUCCGCAGGCGGACUGAUAAGUCAGUGGUGAAAUCCCGUAGCUUAACUACGGAACUGCCAUUGAAACUGUCAGUCUUGAAUUCGGUCGAAGUGGGCGGAAUGUGUCAUGUAGCGGUGAAAUGCAUAGAUAUGACACAGAACACCGAUAGCGAAGGCAGCUCACUAGGCCUGAAUUGACGCUCAGGGACGAAAGCGUGGGGAGCAAACAGGAUUAGAAACCCUAGUAGUCC
rnacentral:rRNA from 1 species